rnacentral:rRNA from 1 species
AUGAACGCUGGCGGCGUGCCUAAUACAUGCAAGUCGAGCGAACAGACGAGGAGCUUGCUCCUCUGACGUUAGCGGCGGACGGGUGAGUAACACGUGGAUAACCUACCUAUAAGACUGGGAUAACUUCGGGAAACCGGAGCUAAUACCGGAUAAUAUAUUGAACCGCAUGGUUCAAUAGUGAAAGACGGUUUUGCUGUCACUUAUAGAUGGAUCCGCGCCGCAUUAGCUAGUUGGUAAGGUAACGGCUUACCAAGGCAACGAUGCGUAGCCGACCUGAGAGGGUGAUCGGCCACACUGGAACUGAGACACGGUCCUGACUCCUACGGGAGGCAGCAGUAGGGAAUCUUCCGCAAUGGGCGAAAGCCUGACGGAGCAACGCCGCGUGAGUGAUGAAGGUCUUCGGAUCGUAAAACUCUGUUAUUAGGGAAGAACAAAUGUGUAAGUAACUAUGCACGUCUUGACGGUACCUAAUCAGAAAGCCACGGCUAACUACGUG